UCUUAUAUGGUGGAGAAGAAGGGCUGUUGGUUAAAUAUUCCAAAGAAACAUUGUAAUUGCUGUGUUUAAGUGCUAUCCGUAGAAUGGUUUGCAUUUAUCGAAGGAUUCUUGGUCAGAUGAAAGGGAAGAGAUAACCUUUCAACGAAAGCGCACUUAAACACAGCAAUUACAAUGUUUCUUUGGAAUAUUCAACCAACAGCCCUUCUUCUCCACCAUCUAAGA